CCUACGGGUGGCAGCAGUGAGGAAUAUUGGACAAUGGAGGCAACUCUGAUCCAGCCAUGCCGCGUGCAGGAAGACUGCCCUAUGGGUUGUAAACUGCUUUUAUACAGGAAGAAACGACAUUACGUGUAGUGUUUUGACGGUACUGUAAGAAUAAGGAUCGGCUAACUCCGUGCCAGCAGCCGCGGUAAUACGGAGGAUCCAAGCGUUAUCCGGAAUCAUUGGGUUUAAAGGGUCCGUAGGUUGUUAAUUAAGUCAGAGGUGAAAGUUUGCGGCUUAACCGUAAAAUUGCCUUUGAUACUGGUUGACUUGAAUUAUUAUGAAGUGGUUAGAAUAUGUAGUGUAGCGGUGAAAUGCAUAGAUAUUACAUAGAAUACCAAUUGCGAAGGCAGAUCACUAAUAAUAUAUUGACACUGAUGGACGAAAGCGUGGGUAGCGAACGGGAUUAGAUACCCCGGUAGUC
rnacentral:rRNA from 1 species